AACGAACGCUGGCGGCAUGCCUAACACAUGCAAGUCGAACGAGACCUUCGGGUCUAGUGGCGCACGGGUGCGUAACGCGUGGGAACCUGCCCUUAGGUUCGGAAUAACUCCCCGAAAGGGGUGCUAAUACCGGAUAAUGUCUUCGGACCAAAGAUUUAUCGCCUUUGGAUGGGCCCGCGUUGGAUUAGCUAGUUGGUAGGGUAAAAGCCUACCAAGGCGACGAUCCAUAGCUGGUCUGAGAGGAUGAUCAGCCACACUGGGACUGAGACACGGCCCAGAAUCCUACGGGAGGGAGCAGUGGGGAAUAUUGGACAAUGGGCGAAAGCCUGAUCCAGCAAUGCCGCGUGAGUGAUGAAGGCCUUAGGGUUGUAAAGCUCUUUUACCCGGGAUGAUAAUGACAGUACCGGGAGAAUAAGCUCCGGCUAACUCCGUG
rnacentral:rRNA from 1 species